AAGAUUAAUUUCGAUAUUUUUAUUAUGAAUUCGAUUUAUCAUCUCAAAAAUUAUUUCCUGUUAUAUUAUACUGUUGUCAUUAUUAUUAUUAGUAUUAUUAUUGUCGUCAUAAUAAUCAUUGCGCUUUUUAUUAUCUAUCACUAAUAUAUUCAUCGUUAGUUAGUUUAUAGUGUAUGUUUAUUUUGUAACAGAUGUUUCUUUUAAUCAAUUAAUUGGUACUAUUAUAUUUACUGUAUGUAACACAUUCCCAAGCUAUAUACUUUAUUAGAAGGAAAAUUAAACAAUGAGAGAGAGAAAAAUAGAAGUCAUAGAGGAUGGAAGUGUUUUAAGUAUUAGGUAGGAAGUUCUAACGCUAGCGAUCAAGAAUUAAAUUAAAAAAAAAGAAUGUUGUGUAUAUAGAUAUUAAAUCUAUUAUAACGAUUAAUAUAAACUGCUUAUAGAUGUAAUGUAUUUUUUGUAGGGACCAUAAUGUAUAAGCAGAACAAUACGAAGAUGUUUCUUGUAUUUUUAUCAUUUUUUUUUUUCUCUUUUUCUUUUCUUUUGUUUCUUCAAACGAUUGUUGAAUGGUGAUACGCGAAUGUGAGUCGAAUUAGUUAAGAUUUGUAAAAAUUGAAAUUAAAAGAGAAAAAGAGAAAAAAGCAAUAUAUAUUUGCUUGAGAAAGGAAAAAACAAAGGAGGAUCUUUGUGAAUUAUAUUAUGGUUUCAGAAAUUAAAUAUAAUUAUAAAAGCUCAUGAAAAAUAUAUAAAAUAUAAUGGUAUAUCUAUGUGAUUUCGAAUUACAAUCGAAUCUCGACAGCUCGAAUUUCAAGGCUAGAACUAAUGUUCAAAUUAUAGAGAUUUCUUAUUAAAAUUUUUCAGUAAAAUAGAUAAAAUUUUACACGCAUUGUACAAGAAUUAAUAUUUUUUCAAUUGUAAAUUGUAAUGAAAGAAAAAUUCGUUGUGGAGAUAUCGCUGAUAAAAGUUUGAGUUACAAACAUAAAUUAAUUGUUUACAGGAAUUCUUCAAUAUCAAAUAAAUAGAAAAUAAUCCAACCAAUAAAAAAAUAAGUUCUCGAGAUAUAAAGAUUCGACUGUAUUUCAAGAUAAUGAGAAUGUUAAUCAAGAAUGAGUUUAAACCUGUUCAGUGGAUGAAUAGAAAAUUGUAAAGCUCACAAAAAAGAUUUUGUUGAAUGUUAUAUGAUGUUUUUAUGGUGAAUAGAAUCUUUUCUGAGAGCUUGAUAGCGAAUGAAAAAGAGAAAGUAUUAUAGUAUGUUUGAAUUAAUCGGCUGUUUAAGGCUAUUAAAAAGAAAAUUAUAUAAUUUGUUUAACUUA